rnacentral:rRNA from 1 species
GAUGAACGCUGGCGGCGUGCCUAAUACAUGCAAGUCGAGCGAAGCGGGGACGGGUGAGUAACACGUGGAUAACCUCCUAUAAGCCUGGGAUAACUUCGGGAAACCGUAGCUAAACCGGAUACUUAUCGAUGGUUCCUCGCUGCAUUGGCUAGUUGGUAAGGUAACGGGUUACCAAGGCAACGAUGCAUAGCCGACCUGAGAGGGUGAUCGGCCACACUGGAACUAGGACACUGUCCAUAUUCCUGCGGUAGGGAGCAGUAGGGAAUCGUCCGCAAUGGGCGAAAGCCUGACGGAGCAACGCCGCGUGAGUGAGGAAGGUCGUCGGAUCGUAAAACUCUGUUAUUAGGGAAGCGGUACCUAAUCAGAAAGCCACGGCUAACUACGUGCCAGCAGCCGCGGUAAUUC